ACCUCUACUUCAUUGAGGAGCCAGGUGGGACCACAGAGCAGGCUCCUCCAUCUUCUCCUGCCAACUCUGUCAGUCCACCAGACCCCACAAUGCAGCCUCCACACCACUGCAGUAACAGCCAUAUCUUCACGUCACAAAGCUUCAGUACUAUCUGAAUGUGUUGAAGUACCAUCCAGCAUCCUGUGGCAACCUCAAUGUGAAUCAUGAUCACCACCGACCCGGGCUCCACAGAGGUAGCCUUGGA